UGCCAGCCGCCGCGGUAAUACGGAGGGUCCAAGCGUUAAUCGGAAUUACUGGGCGUAAAGCGCGCGUAGGCGGCUUGGUCAGUCGGAUGUGAAAGCCCCGGGCUUAACCUGGGAAUUGCAUUCGAUACUGCUGAGCUAGAGUAUGGGAGAGGGAAGUGGAAUUUCCGGUGUAGCGGUGAAAUGCGUAGAUAUCGGAAGGAACACCAGUGGCGAAGGCGACUUCCUGGCCCAAAACUGACGCUGAGGUGCGAAAGCGUGGGUAGCGAACAGGAUUAGAUA
rnacentral:rRNA from 1 species